GAGGUUGGCACCUAGGUUGUCUGAUUCCAUUGUGCCUCCCAGAGAGAGGUGUAGAGAGCCAGAGAAGGGUGUAGGUGCCAGAAACUGCAUUCUACAUCCAUCCCAGACGGAGAAGAGGCAAGAGGAGGUGUUAAACCUGGUUACCUCAGUGGGUUAGGACUAGAAGUAGGAGACUGAGAGGGCAACUUUUGCAUUCUGUUAUUUUCUUUGUCUCAGAACCAUUUGAAUUGUUGUUAAUAUGUGCAUGGAUUACUUUCAUAAUUUAAAAUCUCUCCUCUUCCUUUAAGGCGCCAUUAAAGUUUCCUCCAAAAGCUCCUCAGAAGCCUUCUCCAUCUUCUAGGUGCCCAAGGCUCUUCAUUAUCCUCUUUAGAACCCACAGCUUCUGACUUGACUACAGUUGCCCUUGACAAGGCCUUGAGGACAGGCUUUGUCAGGUCUUCCUGGCUCAUCUCCACAGCCUUGGCACCAUGCCCUCCCUGUGGUAGGCACUCAGUCAAAGCCGAAUGAGUUGGACGAGUGGAGCUUGGAAGAUAAGCUUAGCUAUGUCCUCGUGUGCAUAGCUCACCGAGUUCAUUGGGACCAGCUUCUUCCCACACAAUCCUCUGAAUUCACCCCUCCCUCCACAUUGUUCCCGUGUCUCCUUUUGGCUCCCAGCUGAAUCGGUUGUCAUCAGGUGCCCUAUGCAAGGCACAAUGGAAGAACCAGACCUGUCCCUGCACCGGGCUAUGUGCAACUCUCUGCCUACCAGUGACCUCCUUCACACUUUCCACAACCCUCAGACCCACCUGCAUUUCCCCU
rnacentral:lncRNA from 1 species